UCGUAACAAGGUCUCCGUAGGUGAACCUGCGGAGGGAUCAUUACACAAAUAUGAAGGCGGGCUGGAACCUCUCGGGGUUACAGCCUUGCUGAAUUAUUCACCCUUGUCUUUUGCGUACUUCUUGUUUCCUUGGUGGGUUCGCCCACCACUAGGACAAACAUAAACCUUUUGUAAUUGCAAUCAGCGUCAGUAACAAAUUAAUAAUUACAACUUUCAACAACGGAUCUCUUGGUUCUGGCAUCGAUGAAGAACGCAGCGAAAUGCGAUAAGUAGUGUGAAUUGCAGAAUUCAGUGAAUCAUCGAAUCUUUGAACGCACAUUGCGCCCUUUGGUAUUCCAAAGGGCAUGCCUGUUCGAGCGUCAUUUGUACCCUCAAGCUUUGCUUGGUGUUGGGCGUCUUGUCUCUAGCUUUGCUGGAGACUCGCCUUAAAGUAAUUGGCAGCCGGCCUACUGGUUUCGGAGCGCAGCACAAGUCGCACUCUCUAUCAGCAAAGGUCUAGCAUCCAUUAAGCCUUUUUUCAACUUUUGACCUCGGAUCAGGUAGGGAUACCCGCUGAACUUAAGCAUAUCAAUAAGCGGAGGA
rnacentral:misc_RNA from 1 species